rnacentral:misc_RNA from 1 species
GAUGAAGAACGUAGCGAAAUGCGAUACGUAAUGUGAAUUGCAGAAUUCAGUGAAUCAUCGAAUCUUUGAACGCAUAUUGCGCUCUUUGGUAUUCCGAAGAGCAUGCUUGUUUGAGUAUCAGUAAACACCUCAAAGCUUUUGGAUUUUUUAAUCGAAAAGCUUUGGACUUGAGCAAUCCCAACACCAAUCUUUUUGAGAUCGGUGGCGGGUUGCUUGAAAUGCAGGGGCAGCUGGACAUUCUCCUGAGCUAAAAGCAUAUUCAUUUAGUCCCGUCAAACGGAUUAUUACUUUUGCUGCAGCUAACAUAAAGGGAGUUUGACCGUAUUGGCUGACUGAUGCAGGAUUUCACAAGGGUCGGCAACGAUUCUUGUUAAACUCGAUCUCAAAUCAAGUAAGACUACCCGCUGAACUUAAGCAUAUCAAUAAGCGGAGGA